GAUGAACGCUGGCGGCGUGCCUAAUACAUGCAAGUCGAGCGAACAGAUGAGAAGCUUGCUUCUCUGAUGUUAGCGGCGGACGGGUGAGUAACACGUGGGUAACCUACCUAUAAGACUGGUAUAACUCCGGGAAACCGGGGCUAAUACCGGAUAAUAUUUUGAACCGCAUGGUUCAAUAGUGAAAGACGGUUUCGGCUGUCACUUAUAGAUGGACCCGCGCCGUAUUAGCUAGUUGGUAAGGUAACGGCUUACCAAGGCGACGAUACGUAGCCGACCUGAGAGGGUGAUCGGCCACACUGGAACUGAGACACGGGCCAGACUCCGACGGGAGGCAGCAGUAGGGAAUCUUCCGCAAUGGGCGAAAGCCUGACGGAGCAACGCCACGUGAGUGAUGAAGGUCUUCGGAUCGUAAAACUCUGUUGUUAGGGAAGAACAAAUUUGUUAGUAACUGAACAAGUCUUGACGGUACCUAACCAGAAAGCCACGGCUAACUACGUGCCAGCCGCCGCGGUAA
rnacentral:rRNA from 1 species